GUUCAUUUCCUGUUUCUUACCCGCAGCGAUGCUUGUUCCUUUUAAACACGACCGUGGUCACUCCCGAACCUUAACCCAGUGUUUGUAAAUGUAACCACGACAACAAAGCCGUAGGCCGCUGUCGUUUCCCAGGGAUCACUAACACUGUCCGGAGUGGAUCCAGACCACGGUGAUGUCACGGUGACAGAUCGGGUCAAAGCAGCUUAUGAUGCAACCAUGACACAAUCCCACACCGCCUCGGUCACACAGCACCAGUCCACCUCCUCGAUGCAGAGUCCGUGGCUUCCAGACGACGCGCGCCGCUCCUCACAAACACCGACUGACAGGGAGAAAGAACGGGUGGACCAUCCAGCGGAGGCAGGUGUCUCCAUGGCAACCGAUUGACCGACUUGGUGUGACUGCGAACCCCCCCCCCCCCCGGAGCACAGCUGAGUGGCACCAUGAAGUACAAGAAGUUCAUGACCAUCAUGCAGGUGGCCCUCGGAGUGGCCCCCCUCAACAAGAGAGAGCUCAUCCCGUCGCCGCGCAAACUCUGGAAACC